AUUGAACGCUGGCGGCAGGCCUAACACAUGCAAGUCGAGCGGAUGAAGGGAGCUUGCUCCUGGAUUCAGCGGCGGACGGGUGAGUAAUGCCUAGGAAUCUGCCUGGUAGUGGGGGAUAACGUCCGGAAACGGGCGCUAAUACCGCAUACGUCCUGAGGGAGAAAGUGGGGGAUCUUCGGACCUCACGCUAUCAGAUGAGCCUAGGUCGGAUUAGCUAUUGGUGGGGUAAAGGCCUACCAAGGCGACGAUCCGUAACUGGUCUGAGAGGAUGAUCAGUCACACUGGAACUGAGACACGGUCCAGACUCCUACGGGAGGCAGCAGUGGGGAAUAUUGGACAAUGGGCGAAAGCCUGAUCCAGCCAUGCCGCGUGUGUGAAGAAGGUCUUCGGAUUGUAAAGCACUUUAAGUUGGGAGGAAGGGCAGUAAGUUAAUACCUUGCUGUUUUGACGUUACCAACAGAAUAAGCACCGGCUAACUUCGUG
rnacentral:rRNA from 1 species